AUGAACGCUAGCUACAGGCUUAACACAUGCAAGUCGAGGGGCAGCAUGGUCUUAGCUUGCUAAGACUGAUGGCGACCGGCGCACGGGUGAGUAACACGUAUCCAACCUGCCGUCUACUCUUGGACAGCCUUCUGAAAGGAAGAUUAAUACAAGAUGGCAUCAUGAGUCCGCAUGUUCACAUGAUUAAAGGUAUUCCGGUAGACGAUGGGGAUGCGUUCCAUUAGAUAGUAGGCGGGGUAACGGCCCACCUAGUCUUCGAUGGAUAGGGGUUCUGAGAGGAAGGUCCCCCACAUUGGAACUGAGACACGGUCCAAACUCCUACGGGAGGCAGCAGUGAGGAAUAUUGGUCAAUGGGCGAGAGCCUGAACCAGCCAAGUAGCGUGAAGGAUGACUGCCCUAUGGGUUGUAAACUUCUUUUAUAAAGGAAUAAAGUCGGGUAUGGAUACCCGUUUGCAUGUACUUUAUGAAUAAGGAUCGGCUAACUCCGUGCCAGCAGCCGCGGUAAUACGGAGGAUCCGAGCGUUAUCCGGAUUUAUUGGGUUUAAAGGGAGCGUAGAUGGAUGUUUAAGUCAGUUGUGAAAGUUUGCGGCUCAACCGUAAAAUUGCAGUUGAUACUGGAUAUCUUGAGUGCAGUUGAGGCAGGCGGAAUUCGUGGUGUAGCGGUGAAAUGCUUAGAUAUCACGAAGAACUCCGAUUGCGAAGGCAGCCUGCUAAGCUGCAACUGACAUUGAGGCUCGAAAGUGUGGGUAUCAAACAGGAUUAGAUACCCUGGUAGUCCACACGGUAAACGAUGAAUACUCGCUGUUUGCGAUAUACUGCAAGCGGCCAAGCGAAAGCGUUAAGUAUUCCACCUGGGGAGUACGCCGGCAACGGUGAAACUCAAAGGAAUUGACGGGGGCCCGCACAAGCGGAGGAACAUGUGGUUUAAUUCGAUGAUACGCGAGGAACCUUACCCGGGCUUAAAUUGCAGAUGAAUUACGGUGAAAGCCGUAAGCCGCAAGGCAUCUGUGAAGGUGCUGCAUGGUUGUCGUCAGCUCGUGCCGUGAGGUGUCGGCUUAAGUGCCAUAACGAGCGCAACCCUUGUUGUCAGUUACUAACAGGUUCCGCUGAGGACUCUGACAAGACUGCCAUCGUAAGAUGUGAGGAAGGUGGGGAUGACGUCAAAUCAGCACGGCCCUUACGUCCGGGGCUACACACGUGUUACAAUGGGGGGUACAGAGGGCCGCUACCACGCGAGUGGAUGCCAAUCCCCAAAACCUCUCUCAGUUCGGACUGGAGUCUGCAACCCGACUCCACGAAGCUGGAUUCGCUAGUAAUCGCGCAUCAGCCACGGCGCGGUGAAUACGUUCCCGGGCCUUGUACACACCGCCCGUCACACCAUGGGAGUCAGUAACGCCCGAAGCCGGUGACCCAACCUUCAAGGAGGGAGCCGUCGAAGGCGGGACCGAUAACUGGGGUG
rnacentral:rRNA from 1 species